UGGUUUUAGUCCAAACUCUUCGAAGCGAUAAGAUCACUGCAGAUGAUUUUGACCUCACUUCGUUUUAAACAAAUCGCUGAAGCCAAAACAACGACCGAGAUACUCAAUUUGUGGCCAGAAUAUACAAAGCCGUCAGCUUUCCAAUUUAUUAAUAUAGAUUUUAUACUGAAAUUAGGCAAAUAGAUUUUAUACUGAAAUUAGGCAAAGUGCCUAAGGAUAGAUGGACUCAACUCGAAGAUAGCAUUUUAAACAUCUUAAAAAGCAAAUCUGGUUGCUCUAUCCUCCUCAAGGACCUGCAAAAAGUUGGAUCAAACAACGAAGAAUAAUGAUAUGUUUCUGUCUAUUUUCGGAGUCAAAAACAUUCACCAUCUUUUGGCACGCGCACAAACUCUUCCCUCCUCAACAUACUAUUACCACCUCUCCAAAUGGA